rnacentral:lncRNA from 1 species
GCGCGCGAACCCCGCCGGCCACGUCCGGCCCCCGCCCGGCCUUUGUCCCGGUGCUGAGCCGCCGCGCCGGGGGAGGGGACUGGACUGACCCCGUCGCCCGUUCACUGAUUGACGUAUCGAUUCAUUCCAGCACUCUCGCUCCGGCAGCCGCCAUCCACCGCCAGUUUGGAGAGCCGGACACCCGGGUUCGAAUCCCGGCUUUGCCGCUUUUCCACUCUGUGCCCUCGGAGCCCAGGCCACUUCCCUAGGGCACCACCCUUGACAUGGCCCCAUCCAACACACAGUGGAUGUAGCUGAGAAGAUCAACUGACCAACAGAGGUCAAGUUCCCCUUACACCAUCUGUCUGGUUGUGGCGCUGGCUGAUGGUGAAAUUAGACCCAUUACAUCUUCUGGAGAAACUGGAAGGGGCUUGCAGUAGGUUGAAUGGUGGCCGCCCCAGAAGAUAUGUCCUUGGAACCUGCUAAUGAAACCUUACUUGAAAAAGGCAUCUUUGGGCCGGGCACAGUGGCUCACACCUGUAAUCCCAGCACUUUGCGAGGCCAAGGCCAGUGGAUCACCUGAAGUCAGGAGUUCAAGACCAGCCUGGCCAACAUGGCGAAAUCCCAUCUCUACUAAAAAUACAAAAAGUAUCUGGGUGUGGUGGUGGGUGCCUGUAACCCCAUCUACUCGGGAGCCUGAGGAAGGAGAAUAACUUGAACCUGGGAGGCAGAGGUUGCAGUGAGCCGAGGUCGCGCCACUGCACCCCAGCCUGGGCGACAGAGCGAGACUCCGUCUCAAAAAAAAAAAAAAAAAAAAAAAAAAAAAAAAAAAAAAAAAAAAGAGAGAGAGAGAAAGGCAUCUUUGUCAAUGUAUUUAAGUUAAGGAUCUUGAGAUGAGAUUAUCCUGGAUUGUCCAGUUAACCCUGAAUCCAGUGACAAGUGUCUUUAAAAGAGAUACACAGAGGAGAAGACAGACACAAAGAGAGAAGGUGAUGUGAAGAUGGGGGCAGAGAUUGGAGGGACGCAGCUACAAGCCAAGAAAACCAAGGAUUGCUGGCAGCCACCAGAGGCUGGGAGAGAGGCCUGGGUUGAGACGGCCUCAGAGCCUCCAGAGGGAGCCUGGUCCUGCUGACACCUCAGUUUUGGAGUUCUGACCUCCAGAACUAUGAGAAAAUAAAUUUCUGUUGUUUCAAGCCACCGAGUUUGUGGUAACUUUUCAUGGCAGACCUAGGAAACUAAUACAGGAAUGAACUUGGGGAAAACAACAGUGGGAAGGUCCUUGCCCAGUGGAGCCCUUCCUGGAUGGCACUGUCCACACCCAGGGCUUCAUUCCUUCUCCAAAGA